rnacentral:rRNA from 1 species
UACAGAGGUCUCAAGCGUUUGUUCGGAUUCAUUGGGCGUAAAGGGUGCGUAGGCGGCGCGGUAAGUCGGGUGUGAAAUCUCGGGGCUUAACUCCGAAACUGCAUUCGAUACUGCCGUGCUUGAGGACUGGAGAGGAGACUGGAAUUUACGGUGUAGCGGUGAAAUGCGUAGAUAUCGUAAGGAAGACCAGUGGCGAAGGCGGGUCUCUGGACAGUUCCGUGACGCUGAGGCAACGAAGGCCCAGGGGAGCAAACGGG